rnacentral:rRNA from 1 species
CCUACGGGAGGCAGCAGUGGGGAAUUUUGGACAAUGGGCGAAAGCCUGAUCCAGCAAUGCCGCGUGUGGGAAGAAGGCCUUCGGGUUGUAAACCACUUUUGUACGGAACGAAAAGGUCUGCUUUAAUAAAGCGGGCUCAUGACGGUACCGUAAGAAUAAGCACCGGCUAACUACGUGCCAGCAGCCGCGGUAAUACGUAGGGUGCGAGCGUUAAUCGGAAUUACUGGGCGUAAAGCGUGCGCAGGCGGUUAUAUAAGACAGUUGUGAAAUCCCCGGGCUCAACCUGGGAAUUGCAUCUGUGACUGUAUAGCUAGAGUACGGUAGAGGGGGAUGGAAUUCCGCGUGUAGCAGUGAAAUGCGUAGAUAUGCGGAGGAACACCGAUGGCGAAGGCAAUCCCCUGGACCUGUACUGACGCUCAUGCACGAAAGCGUGGGGAGCAAACAGGAUUAGAUACCCUGGUAGUCCACGCCCUAAACGAUGUCAACUGUUNUUGGGUGCAUUAGUACUCAGUAACGAAGCUAACGCGUGAAGUUGACCGCCUGGGGAUACGGCCGCAAGGUUGAACUUAAGGAAUUGACGGNGNGAGAGNGCGAGACGACGACGAGGAGAGG